ACCCAACAGGGGAGAUGUGGAAAGAGAUUCUUCCACACUGAAUUCCUGGUUGAUGGACCUCAGAAAAAGGUGUAUGCCAUUUCUGACAGAUGUGAAUGGUAAUUUCAGUUUCAUGAACGGUGGAUGACAUUGGAAUACACAAAUGCUGAAUUCGAUGUUUUUAAUACAAUUUACCAAAUAUGCCAGAUUCUGAAAUCCUAAGGACUUGUACUUUCAUUCAGUUAAGCUCCAAGAUGAAAGCAAACAGACAUCAAGGAUGGAAGAUCACCUUUACCUGGAUACAAGCCGUGAUCCAAUAUCAAAUGGUGAAGAUUUUGGCAACAUUCCUGAAAAUUGCAAGGUGGGGCAGGCAAGGAUGAGACAGCAACUCAGUCUCCAGUUUUACUUCAUCGGAAGGGUCAGGUUAAUAGGGAAUUAAAAUGUGUGGAAAAUUUGCAUCAUGAAAGAUCGCUCUGGAAUGCAAGUUAAGACUGAGAAAAGAAAAAUAACAGAAGGAAAUCCUCAAGAUCUCGGAAAUAUUUUGUCCUUUUUGUUCUUCAAUCAGUCCAAUGUAUAAUUUGUUUUGUCUUCAUGUAAAUGGCUCCUGAUGUUUAAUGUUAUCACACUUUUGUUUCUAGUUCCAAUAGUAAUUAAAUGUCUCAAGUUAUGCAAAUGCAGGAAAUGUCUUCAAAAUAUUGCUCCCCGUUGUAUUAAGAUGCAAUUUCCAAAAGAUUGUCAGGAGUAAGGAGAAAACUUAAUGUGCUCUGAAAAGGUUGAAGAUUAAGAACUCAUUUCCCUCAUGUAGAAAAUUUCCCUCAUGCAUGGUUGGAAGAAUAUUGUUUAGAGCACUCUAGUUGAAACCAGGUAUAAAUACCCCUGCUUUGCUGGGGUUUUUUGUAUUAACAGAUUAAUACCAAAGUUCAAACAUUAGAAAUUAUAUUUUACAUGAAAUUUACAAGAUCAGUACAGAGUUGGGGUUUUACAUGAGAACAAAACUUUUGCAACAAUCACAUUCCUUAAGUUGUCAUUUUUGGUAAUAUUUGCAACAUAGUUAGGCACAUUGGUUGUUGAUAUACAACAUAAUGAAUAGCAAGGCACAUUCUGGAGAUGUAUGUAGUGUAAAAUGUUCAUUUUUUAAACAUGCAAGAUUAUAUAGUUCCUGUAUCAUA